rnacentral:rRNA from 1 species
AGUCUGGUGCCAGCAGCCGCGGUAAUUCCAGCUCCAAUAGCGUAUAUUAAAGUUGUUGUGGUUAAAAAGCUCGUAGUUGGAUCUCAGUUCGAGUCAGGCGGUCCACUUGCCAGUGGCUACUGCCUGACUGAACACUUUACCGAGUUGUCCUAUGGUGUUCUUCACCGAGCGUCAUAGGCGAUCGGUACGUUUACUUUGAAAAAAUUAGAGUGCUCAAAGCAGGCGUAACGCCCGAAUAAUGUUGCAUGGAAUAAUGGAAUAGGACCUCGGUUCUAUUUUGUUGGUCUUCGGAAUCAGAGGUAAUGAUCAAUAGGGACAGACGGGGACAUUCGUAUUGCGGCGCUAGAGGUGAAAUUCUUGGACCGUCGCAAGACGAACUAAAGCGAAAGCAUUUGUCAAGAAUGUUUUCAUUAAUCAAGAACGAAAGUUAGAGGUUCGAAGGCGAUCAGAUACCGCCCUAGUUCUAACCAUAAACGAUGCCAACCAGUAAUUCGUCUGAGUUCCUUAAAUGACUCGACGAGGGACUUCCGGGAAACCAAAGUCUUUCGGUUCCAGGGGAAGUAUGGUUGCAAAGCUGAAACUUAAAGAAAUUGACGGAAGGGCACCACCAGGAGUGGAGCCUGCGGCUUAAUUUGACACAACACGGGAAAACUCACCCGGCCCGGACACUGGAAGGAUUGACAGAUUGAGAGCUCUUUCUUGAUUCAGUGGGUGGUGGUGCAUGGCCGUUCUUAGUUGGUGGAGUGAUUUGUCUGGUUAAUUCCGAUAACGAACGAGACUCUAGCCUACUAAAUAGAUCGUCGGCUUACAAACGCCGGCGAGACUUCUUAGAGGGACAGGCGGUGAUUCAACCGCACGAAACAGAGCAAUAACAGGUCUGUGAUGCCCUUAGAUGUCCGGGGCCGCACGCGCGCUACACUGAAGUGAUCAGCGUGCUUUUUCAACCUACUCUGUCAAGAGUGGGGAACCCAAUGAACCUUCUUCGUGAUUGGGAUAGGGGAUUGUAAUUAUUCCCCUUGAACGAGGAAUUCCCAGUAAGCGCGAGUCAUAAGCUCGCGUUGAUUACGUCCCUGCCCUUUGUACACACCGCCCGUCGCUACUACCGAUUGAAUGUUUUAGUGAGGUCUUCGGACUGGCCGGCGCAGCACUCUCGUAGUGCAGCGCUGUGUUUGGAAAGAUGCCCAAACUUGAACAUUUAGA